rnacentral:misc_RNA from 1 species
UAUUAUUUAUAAGAGAAACCAUCACACAUAUGCCAAGUUGAAUAGAAAAAGUUACAAGAAAGAAAGAUUACACAAAUCUUUACACUUUUUCCAAACAGUUGCAACCACAAUCCCACCUUCUCCACCAGAGACAAACAUGUCUCCAAAGUUUUUAUCCUCAACCAUGUUAAGGAUACUUCUCCUAUUUUUAGAAAAAAUAGAUGACUUUGCCAGUAGUAGCCGUAUCUCUCUGCCUUCACUAUCAGGUAUGCCCAUACCCCAGACUUGCACAUUUAAAUGAUGAUAAAUUAUGUUCUUGAAUCUAUAGCUGUCGGAAUGUGAGCAUCGCGUAUCUACUCUGAGAUCAGGUGAGAGGGACUUUGGGACCUCUCCUUUAAUUUAUUUAAACAAAGUGACACCCAGGUGGGGUAUUGAUGGGUCCAUAAGGCACGUGAAAUUCAAAUGCUUAUGUGCUUUAUGGGGUGAAAGGUUAUUGUUGGCUAUGUUGGGACCCUUUUGGGGCCAUUGUGAACGGGCAAGAAGGAAAGGAGAGAAGUGAAGAUGACAGCUUGGAGGAAGCAAUGAAAGGCUUCUCUUCCUCCUAUAUCUGCUGCUUAUUGUUUUGAAGCCUUAGUUCCCAUCAAUUGGAAAAAAUCUGUAUGAUUCUCAUGUUUAUAUGCUCCUAAGUGCAAUUAUUGUCCUUUAACCUUUUGUAACAAGUUGCCAUAAGUGGGAGACUUGCAGCUCCAUAGGGAAGCAUCUUCACUGCCCUUAGUAUAGUGAAUGCAUGUUUAAGUGGUUAUGCAUUGAAAAGGUGAAAAGCAUUGUUGAGAAGGGGAAAACAGUAUUCAAGUGUUCUCUUCUUUUUUUAUUUUAGAAAAAAAAAAACUGAAAAAAGGGCUAGUAUUAUGUGUUAAUUACUGUUUCUCCAGUCCAGGGCCAUUGGUCAAGCAUUUAUCUUCCUGAUUUCAGUCACCUCCGUAAGGCGUAUUGAUCAUUGGAUAUUGUUGGGAGACGUCGAUCCGUUCCUGCAAGAUUACAGCGGUUAUCAGUCUUUAGACUCAGUUUGCAGAGUCCGGUCAAAGCAGCAAAAUUAAUGUUUAAACAUCACAAGUUGUGAGUCUGUGGUAGUUGUUGGAUUUUUUAUGGCAUCAACUAAAUUGUACUUGUUCAUGAUACUUGUGUUUAUAAAGCUUGUGACCCUGAAAUAGUCCUAAAGGACAAAUGAAGGAGUAACUUCUAUGGUUGGUCUAUAUCUUUUUAAUGAUCUUGGAUGCUAUAUUUUAUACAGGUUAGAUUCUCUGGCCUUGCGCAAGAUUACAUAUCCAUGGAGAGAGCUAGCUAAUCCAAACCCACAAGAAUGUGCAAGAGAACAAGUCCCCUUCAGGAUGCCCAUUUUGACUGGUGCAAGUUGUUUAGGGAACCCAAAUUCUUCCAUGAGGAAAACAAAAAAAUUGUAAUUGAAAAUGACAUGAGAACAAUGAUACGAGGAGGAAAACAACAAAGACUACAUUGACAAAAUCAUCCACUAACUAGCUAGCUUGUUGCUUUGAACUUCCAUGGAGUGGAUUUUUACAAAAAAAAAUAAGAA